UAGUUGGGUUGGGGGGGAAUCGCCUUCCUUUUUGCCCGUCAGUACACACAAAUAAGUCUCCCCGGGGGGGGAGUACGCCAGCAAGGUAUAAAUCAAAAGGAAUUGGGGGGGGCCCACACAAGCAGCUGAGCAUUUUAUUUAAAUGGAAGCAGCGCGACGAUCCCUGGCAGUUCCAUCCAUCGAUGUAAUUAGGUAGACAUACGGAGUGUUUUGGGGCAACUGAAGACAGGUGGUGCAUGGUUGUCGUCAGCUCGUGUCGUGAGAUGUUGGGUUAAGUCCCGCAACGAGCGCAACCCCUAUUGUUAGUUGCUACGCAAGAGCACUCUAGCGAGACUGCCGUUGACAAAACGGAGGAAGGUGGGGACGACGUCAAAUCAUCAUGCCCCUUAUGAUUUGGGCUACACACGUAAUACAAUGGUGGUUACAAGGAGAAGCGAAAUCCGGAGGGGGAGCAAAUCUCAUAAAGGUCAUCCCAGUUCGGAUUGCAGUCUGCAACUCGAGUACAUGAAGUCGGAAUCGCUAGUAAUCGCGAAUCAGCAUGUCGCGGUGAAUACGUUCCCGGGUCUUGUACACACCGCCCGUCACACCAUGGGAGUAGGGAACACCCGAAGUCAGUGGCCCAACCGCAAGGAGGGAGCGGCCGAAGGUGGGAUUUAUAAUUGGGGUGAAGUCGUAACAAGGUAGCCG
rnacentral:rRNA from 1 species